rnacentral:lncRNA from 1 species
UGCGGCGAGAAUAUCCGCAUCUGUUCGAGUCGACGAGUUAAGGUAUGCGUAAUUUCACGGACGAAAUUAUUUUAAGGGGUGGAGAAUGUAAUAUACCGAAAAUUUGGAAAAUAAAUAUCGAACUUUAGUCAAAUUGACCAAAGUGCGAGGUUGGAACACUUCGGAAAGUUCGAAGGUGUUAAAAUGAUCAAAAGUGAGUUACGGAAGGUUUUCGAGAGCUCUCGGGGACCGGUCCCUGGUGGGAGAGACCAGUCCCGGAACGCGUAUGAAAUGAGACAACCGAAAAAUCGGCUAAGUCCCUAAGACCAGCUCUCGGGAAUCGGUCCCUCCCCGAGAGACCGGUCCCCGAGAGACCGGUCCCCUCAAAGAGAGACCGGUCGCAUUGCGCGCAGCAGCUCUGGCUGCGCUAGGAGAGCUCUCGGAGACCGGUCCUGUAAGGUACCGGACUUCUAAAAUCAUGAGGUUACGGUGUCCAUUUGGUUGGAGAGCCAUUUGAAUAGUUCCGGUAAGGUUGCGGUGUAGUGUAAUAUACCGGAUUUAAAUAUAAAAAUAAAAAUAAAUAAAAAUAGUAUGAGAUACUAUUUUUAUUGGAUUUAGAGAAGUGAAAUAUAGGUUGGGAAUGACCUGUGCUGAAAUCGGAACGAAAACAGAAGAUUUAGAAUUUUCUGUGGAAAACGGGGCAGAUAAAUUAGCAGAAAAUGUACAGUCUCAGAAAAUUAUGAAAAUUGGAGGAUAAGUCAGAAAUAUUUUUAUGAGGCUAGAUUUAAGGUUUCAUAUUUU